UACAGAGGUGGCAAGCGUUGUUCGGAAUUACUGGGCGUAAAGGGCGCGUAGGCGGUCUUCUAAGUCUUGUGUGAAAUCCCUCGGCUCAACUGAGGAACUGCACGAGAUACUGGAUGACUUGAGUUCGGGAGAGGGAAGCGGAAUUCCGGGUGUAGCGGUGAAAUGCGUAGAGUAUCCGGAGGAACACCGGUGGCGAAGGC
rnacentral:rRNA from 1 species